UACGGUAGGGCGCAAGCGUUGUCCGGAAUUAUUGGGCGUAAAGAGCUCGUAGGCGGUUUGUCGCGUCGGCCGUGAAAUCUCCACGCUUAACGUGGAGCGUGCGGUCGAUACGGGCAGACUUGAGUUCGGUAGGGGAGACUGGAAUUCCUGGUGUAGCGGUGGAAUGCGCAGAUAUCAGGAGGAACACCGGUGGCGAAGGCGGGUCUCUGGGCAGUAACUGACGCUGAGGAGCGAAAGCGUGGGGAGCGAACAGG
rnacentral:rRNA from 1 species